CCUACGGGAGGCAGCAGUGGGGAAUAUUGCACAAUGGGGGAAACCCUGAUGCAGCGACGCCGCGUGAAGGAAGAAGUAUUUCGGUAUGUAAACUUCUAUCAGCAGGGAAGAAAAUGACGGUACCUGACUAAGAAGCCCCGGCUAACUACGUGCCAGCAGCCGCGGUAAUACGUAGGGGGCAAGCGUUAUCCGGAUUUACUGGGUGUAAAGGGAGCGUAGGCGGUGCAGCAAGUCAGAAGUGAAAGCCUGGGGCUCAACUCCGGGACUGCUUUUGAAACUGUUGAACUAGAGUGCAGGAGAGGUAAGUGGAAUUCGUGGUGUAGCGGUGAAAUGCGUAGAUAUUAGGAGGAACACCAGUGGCGAAGGCGGCUUACUGGACUGUAAAUGACGCUGAGGCUCGAAAGCGUGGGGAGCAAACAGGAUUAGAUACCCGGGUAGUC
rnacentral:rRNA from 1 species